rnacentral:rRNA from 1 species
UAAAGCGUGCGCAGGCGGUUUUGUAAGACUGUCGUGAAAUCCCGGGCUCAACCUGGGAAUGGCGAUGGUGACUGCAAGGCUAGAGUUUGGCAGAGGGGGGUAGAAUUCCACGUGUAGCAGUGAAAUGCGUAGAUAUGUGGAGGAACACCGAUGGCGAAGGCAGCCCCCUGGGUCAAAACUGACGCUCAUGCACGAAAGCGUGGGGAGCAAACAGGAUUAGAUACCCUAGU